rnacentral:rRNA from 1 species
UAGGGAAUCUUCGGCAAUGGACGGAAGUCUGACCCGAGCAAACGCCGCGUGAGUGAAGAAAGGUUUUUCGGAUCGUAAAGCUCUGUUGUAAGAGAAGAACGAGUGUGAGAGUGGAAAGUUCACACUGUGACGGUAUCUUACCAGAAAGGGACGGCUAACUACGUGCCAGCAGCCGCGGUAAUACGUAGGUCCCGAGCGUUGUCCGGAUUUAUUGGGCGCAAAGCGAGCGCAGGCGGUUAGAUAAGUCUGAAGUUAAAGGCUGUGGCUUAACCAUAGUACGCUUUGGAAACUGUUUAACUUGAGUGCAAGAGGGGAGAGUGGAAUUCCAUGUGUAGCGGUGAAAUGCGUAGAUAUAUGGAGGAACACCGGUGGCGAAAGCGGCUCUCUGGCUUGUAACUGACGCUGAGGCUCGAAAGCGUGGGGAGCAAACAGGAUUAGAUACCCUGGUAGUCCACGCCGUAAACGAUGAGUGCUAGGUGUUAGACCCUUUCCGGGGUUUAGUGCCGUAGCUAACGCAUUAAGCACUCCGCCUGGGGAGUACGACCGCAAGGUUG